GAAAUGCGAUACGUAAUGCGAAUUGCAGAAUUCAGUGAAUCAUCGAAUCUUUGAACGCAAGUUGCGCUUUCGAGAGCCCUCGGAAGCAUGCCUCUCUGAGUAUCGGUUUCUAUAUCUCUCACACACCUGUGUGUGGGGAGAAUGGGAGUUGCAGCAAUGUGUAUGCGCAUCUCUUGAAGUCAGCACGUCGGCCAAAGUCCAUCGGGUUCUUGGAACGAUAUAAUCCGUCAUGGCGCCAGAAAACCAUACACAAGAUCUCAGAUGAGGUAAGACUACCCGCCGAAUUUAA
rnacentral:misc_RNA from 1 species